rnacentral:rRNA from 1 species
GAUUCCCUUAGUAACGGCGAGUGAACGGGGAAGAGCCCAGCGCUAAAUCUUGCUGCUCUAACGGGUAGCGAGAGGUGUAGCGUAUAGCAGGCGAUCUUCCUUGAUGGCUGUCGACUUAAAUUCUCCUUGACUGGGGUUCCAGAGAAGGUGAAAGGCCUGUUCAGUCGAUGGCCGUCUUGGAUUCCGUUCUGCUUGGAGUCGGGUUGUUUGGGAACGCAGCCCAAAUUUGGUGGUAAACUUCAUCUAAGGCUAAAUACGGCCACGAAACCGAUAGCAAACAAGUACCGUGAGGGAAAGUUGAAAAGUACUUUGAAGAGAGAGUUCAAGAGGACGUGAAACCGGUAGGAUGGAAACGGAUAGAGCCAACGAACAAGCCCGUAUUCAGCUAGUCGGCUGCGUGCGGCAUGCCUUUGUACUCGAUAGGGUGCAUGGGUGUGUGCGGUAUGCGGUUGGCUAGUGCAUUUGCGGGUGAUGUGCGCUGAGGCGUGUGGUGGAGUCCUGCAAACUGUCUGGAGAGGCCUUGACUUCGGUCUUGAAACCUACAGGCGGGGAGUAGGGUUUCUGCUGCAUGUAGCUAAUACGGCUAGGUGCAAACGCGCUGCCGUGCUGCCGGGCUGGUCGUUUGGUCGGUCGCAUGCGACUAGGCCUUUCGAUUAGUCUUGGUGGUGCGGUAGUGCCCUAGCCGGUCCUCGGUGUAAAAGUUGGUCAUCUCUCCGACCCGUCUUGAAACACGGACCAAGGAGUCUAGCGUAUACGCGAGUCAUUGGGUGGAAAACCCAUAGGCGUAAUGAAAGUGAAGGUCUCUUUAUGAGGCUGAUAUGCGAUCCGUUGCACUACGGUGUAUGCGGAGCAGCAUAGCCCCGUCUCGACUGCUUGCAGUGGGGCGGAGGUAGAGCGUAUUCGCUGGUACCCGAAAGAUGGUGAACUAUGCCUGAGCAGGAUGAAGCCAGAGGAAACUCUGGUGGAGGUCCGAAGCGCUUCUGACGUGCAAAUCGAUCGUCUGACUUGGGUAUAGGGGCGAAAGACUAAU